rnacentral:rRNA from 1 species
AGGACGAACGCUGGCGCGGUGCUAACGACGAUGCAAGUCGAACGGACCUUCGGGUAGCCAGUGGCAAACGGGUGAGUAACACGUGGGAACGCGCCUUUGGGUGGGGAAUAACGCUGAGAAAUCAGUGCUAAUACCGCAUAUGGUCUAACGACUAAAGCAGCAAUGCGCCCGGAGAGCGGCCCGCGACCGAUUAGCUAGUUGGUGGGGUAAUGGCCUACCAAGGCAGUGAUCGGUAGCUGGUCUGAGAGGAUGGUCAGCCACACUGGGACUGCGAACGGCCCAGACUCCUACGGGAGGCAGCAGUUAGGAAUUUUCGGCAAUGGACGAAAGUCUGACCGAGCGACGCCGCGUGGAGGAUGACGCCUUUCGGGGUGUAAACUCCUUUUCUGCGGGAAGAUAAUGACGGUACCGCAGGAAUAAGCACCGGCUAACUACGCGCCAGCAGCCGC